UUUUUCUCCCUUUUAAUAUAUUACUGUCAAGUAUUUUUGCCUCUGCCAUGGGCUAAGCCAACAGAAAUAAAUCCUUUAAUGUGAAGAAUUGCUCCAUCAAUUACUAUAUUAGCAACAGUUGUAAGAUGUAAAAGAUUUGUGUCUUUGUCUCAUGCCUUGUUUUCAACUUAAGGUAGAAUACUAAGUCUGAAUGCAGUUUUGUAAUACUCAUGCCUUGUUUUCACUUCAAACGAAUAUCUUUACCAUUAUAUAAAGGCCAGUCCAAAGUUAACCACAAAUUAACUACUUUUUGGUCGAACCUUUUUCUGGACAAAAUUACCCUUAGAAAUCUAAUUCUUUUUCAAAAUUUAAUCUAAAUUUAUUCCUAAGUUAUAGGAAAUUUAAAAACUAACUAUUUUUUAGCUGAACGUUUUUUGCUUCAAAUUUUCCCAUAACAAACUAAUACUUUUUCUCAAAAUUAAAUUUAAAAACAACUUAAAACAUAAAUACAACGAAAUACAAUAAAAAAAUGCGGAUAGACGAGCAGGGAGUGCUCACCUUUCCGCUAGUAAAGAUAGAAUACAAAGUCUGAAUGCAGUUUUGUACAGCAACCUGUUUAAAAGCUUUAUGUGCCAUUAUAUACUCUACUUAGUGACUAGAUAUUUAGUUUUUGUUUGUGGUAUAUGGAAAAACUAUUAGAAACCUAUGUUCUUUUUACAUGACUCUAAUAUAUAUUAAAUUAUGCUUUCUUCAUGGAUGAACAUUAUGCAUAUAGGUACAUAUUUAUUUUAGCAAAAUAUCCUUGCGAUUGAACAAUAUGCAAGUGAGUUGGUAUGAUCUUGCCCGACCAUGUGAUGUAUUAUUUUCUCAUUCAUUUGCUUAUGACGUAAUAGUUGAACUUGAAUAGGACUUGGUGUGUGUUUGGUUCCGCGGUCAUAAAAAUUGAUUUUGAUAGAAUUGAUUUUGAAUGAAUUGAUUCUGAUCAAAAGUGAGUUGAGUGAAAUUGAUUUGUGUUUGGAUACAUUAAUAUGAAAGUGAUUCUUAUCAAUGUAUGUUGUUUGGAUAGUUUGAAUCAAAAUUGAUUUUAAAUGUAUAAUUACCAAAAUGGGCGUCAUUAUAAUUAUAAGUAUUUAUAACUAGAUUUCAUUCCAAUUUUAUAUAAUUAUUCAAAUUUAAUUUGUUCAUUAAAUUUAAUAAUUUAUGACUGUAAAAAAAAUAGUUAUUUAUAAAAUUGUUUUGACAAAAUUAUUCAUAGAUUAUUUAAAUCAUAUAUUAUGGGUUGAUAUGAUAAAAACGUGAAAACCAUGAAUUUAAAUUAUUAAGAAACCCAUAAUAUAAAUUGGUAGGCUUUUACCAUGUACUAGGUCAAAAUAAAUAAGACUGGAGUUUAAUCGUAAAAAAAAUAUCAGCAAUUUUUUCUAAUUAGCAAGUUAUUGUUUAGUGCAAUUUAUGAUCAACUGGGAAAAAAACUAUUGCAGCUCCUAAAUAAUGUGCUGUGUGAAAAGGUAUAAAGGAAAGGAUAAAUAUGUAAAAAGAGAGCAUUCACUCAUAACAUAAUAAAAUUGUAAUCAAUUCCCACCGCUGUUUACAAAAGCUACUAAUACCAGCUUCAAUUGGAAUUGCUUUUAGAUGCCAGACUCAAUUUUAAAAAUGGCUACCCAAACACCAAUUUUUUAGCAAACUCACUUUUAAGAUAUUUAAACUCACGUUUACAGCUCCCCACCACGCAACCAAACGGAAUCUUAAUAGCUGAAAUUUAUUCAUUUUGUAAUACUUUGAUUGCGUGUAUUUGAUGUGCCUUAUAAAAUCUAAACUUUGGAUCCAGGAUUAACUGUUAAUUUUUUCUUUGGUCUUGUGCUAUAUUGUGAAACUUCGUUCUUGUUCUUAAUGCAUAUGAAUUAUUCAAAUAUUUAAAGUUUGUGCUUUAUGAAUGUGGUACAGAGGUUCAAACUGGCUUUUGUAGGUUCCUAGGAAUCGGUAUUGGGGUUUGCAUCCUCCCCCAGCCCCUCUUGAAGAUGUAGUCGAUGAUGGCUUGAUGACAAUCCAGAGGGCAUCUUUCCUAAGAAAAGCAGGGGUAGAAACAAUAGUAGAUAAUGAUCAUUUUCUCAAUCCACCGAAUAGAGCUGAUUUGUUGGAGUCAGCAAUAAAAAACAUUAGCAGGUUUAUAUUCCUUUAUAUUUUACUUGAAAGAAAGAUAAAAUAUGUAUUUUUUUUUUUGUUUGAUAUGGAAAAAUAGAGCAGUCCUUUAUUAUAGAAGCGAUAUGACAUGAAUCUUGGGUAGCGUAACUACUUAUCUACAUCCCAAAAGAUUAGAAAUUACAUUUAUUUUAUCUUAUCACUAGUACCAUUAUCUACAUUUAUCCUGUUCAAAGUCCUAUUAUCCAGGACAUAGGAUUUGAAAUCUCUUUUGGUUCUUACGAUACUCCUGCAAGCUGGCUGGAAAUGUCUCCCAUAGACAGCUUGUUGAUAAAAUCAAUGAAGUACCUCUUGGAUGUGCCGUUGGUGAGAAUGUCUGCAACAUGAUUUGUUGUAAUGACAUUAUGGAACUCACCAUUUUUUAUCUUCUCUUCACUAGAGUGUUAAUCUAUUUCAAUGUGCUUGGCUCUGUCAAUGAAAACAUAACUGUGAGCUAUGCAUGUUGUCUACUUGUUGUUUUAGUAUAGGUGUCAAUUUUCCUAACAGUAAUUCUUUUGUAGUCUUUCGAUCUACAUAUAAUCUCACACAUUUCGCAGGCCCUUGAUUUAAAUUAUGCUUUAGCAUGUCUCCUUGCCAACCAAAUUUUGUUUCUUAGUUUGCCAUGUAACUAGGUUCGUUUUGUGGAGGGUUAGGUAGCUUAACUGGUUUGAGCUAAGGGUUGAAGGACCUAGGUUCAAACAAUGGUAUUGGUGAAGGAGGAAACACCAACCUAACAACUAAUUACUAACUUUUGCCUAAAAAAAAACAAGGUUUCUUUUGACAAAUGUACAAUAACCACCAGCUGAUCUUCUGUUCAUGGUAUUCCCAGUCCAACCUGCAUUGAUGUAGGCGUGCAUUUUUGCUGCUAUCCAUGUUUUUUAUGUUGUAAGUUUGUAAUCAUCUUCUUGGUGAACAACCUUUAUUGAUGAAUACUAUGUACAGGUAUUUGGAGGCCUGUCGAGAGAAAAAAUUAACACAGUCAGUCAGCGAGGGGGUUGACACUCUAUUAAUGUAUCUCUAUAGAGCUCUAAAUCGUGUUGAGGACAUGGAGAGGUUGGCAUCUUCAACGAACUGGUGUGUUGUGGUAUGUGCAGAUUAUUGUUAUUGUGGAUUCACAUUAUUCAAGACAUGCAAACUGUUAUGUUUCACAUUUAUUAUAUUGAUGUCAAUUUUAUAUAUUAGUUAUUUGAUUGAAGAGAUUUCAAUAAAUUUUGAAAAUUUGGAAAGUGAAGUGUUUAGUAGUAGGAAUGUUGCUUAUUAUUCUUUUAGAGAAUUUGGAAAAAAAAAUCUUGUUUUCUGGCAUGGCCGCAUUUAACGUUUUUCCAAAAAGAGAAUUGUCAACUGCAAAAUUAAUCUGCGAACCUGGAAGGGUGAAACCUGCCUGGAUCAUUAACCACAAGUGUAAACAGAGAAAGUAAAAGUGGUGACCCCUUGUCUAAAUCAGUGCUGUUUUCUAAACAAAACAUAGGUUAUUUCACUACAUGACAUGAUAGCAAUUGCGUGGGGUUGUCAUGAGAGAUGGACUUAUGAUAUACAUUUCUUUGCAGGAGGAGUUGGAACACAUGUUAGAAGAGUCGGGGCAUCUACGGACCCUUGCCUUUUUAUACGCUAGUAAAGGAAUGAGCUCAAAAGCUGUGUCUAUUUGGCGCAUCCUGGCAAGAAAUUAUUCAUCUAGCCUACGCAAAGACCCUGCUUUGGAGACUAUUAUACAGGAUAGUGGGGAAAACCUUAUUUCUGGAAAGGCAAUUGCAGCAGCUGAAGCUUCAAAGAUUCUUGAGUUGUCAUCUGACCAAGAUUUGAUUCUCCAACAUCUAGGAUGGGUAUGACUUGAGUGGUUUAGAAGUUGGUUGUUAAUGCAAGUAGAAUGUCUACAAUUCCAUGAUUCUUCUUUUUGAACUUUCUCAUUUCAGAUUGCUGAUAUCAGCCAGGUUCUUGCAGUCGAAGUUCUAACAUCGGACAAACGAGAGAUCCAGCUUUCUCCUGGUUGGUCUUGAUUCUUCAAACUUGCCCACCCUCAUGAAUUUCUACAAUGAUAUUAUGAUAAUGUUUUGGAUCGUUGAUUUUGAGCAACACAAGUUUUGAAUACGUUGUUUUGCUCAGUUUGAACCACUUGUUUAUUAUCACAGAAUUACUAGUGUAAUCUGCCAAAGUGGUCUUAAAUAUCAUAUUUAUCAUUAAGAUUUUGUUUUUUGUUUUUGUUUUUGUUUCUGUUCAUUUUAUUUUAUUUAUUAAAUCAUUAGUGAUAUGUUCAUUUGAUACUGCAGAUGAAGUUGUUACAUCUAUUGAUCCAAAGAAGGUAGAAAUUUUACAAAGGUAUAUGGUUAUUGAUUCUCAGGAUUUCAUGAUGCGAUAAAUUCUUUUACCGUCUCAUCUUCAUUGCGUUUAUGCUCUAAUGUAUAUGAAUACACCUAAUGGUUAAGGGUUGGUUGUUGUAGUUAUGAUAUUGAUUUAUACUCUAUUUUUAACAGUCUGCUUCUUAGUUUACCCUGACAUCCUUGUUAUUUAGGUAUCUCCAAUGGUUGAUUGAAGACCAAGACUGCUUUGAUACUCAGUUGCAUACGUUGUAUGCUCUCUCACUUGCCAAAUCAGCAAUUGAAGCCUCUGAGUUUGAAAAUAUCUCUGAAAGUCUUGCUAGUGGAAAUACUGAGAGAAAUAAUAUGACUACUUUGAGGAACUCGAUCUUUCAGACUCCUGUCAGGGAAAGAUUACAGUUCUUUUUGCAAUCAUCAGACUUGUAUGAUCCAGAAGAAGUUCUCGACUUGAUUGAAGGAUCUGAAUUAUGGUUGGAAAAGGUAAUUAUAAGUCUUUUGACUAUGUUAUCCUAAAAUCUGUUUAUUUUAGUUUGAUAUAUUUUCUAUUUUUGGUUUUUUCGUUUCUUAGACAAUCUUUGGGAUGGGUGGUGAUAGAUUCUUCAUGUUCAAAUUGAUGUUUACCUUUUUCAACCUUUUUUGUUAAUUGGGCUUAUUUGACAGGCUAUUUUAUAUAGAAGAUUGGGGCAAGAGACUUUGGUCCUCCAAAUUCUGGCUUUGUAAGUUUCAUAUUAGCUUUGAAAUUGUUGCUGUUGUCUACUUUUCUUGUAAAACUUACUCGAAUUAUAUUGCAUGAUGCCAUGUAAUUCCUUGCAUGCAUUUUCUUAUUGUUGAUUCAUUGUAAUUUUACGAUCAAUUUUAUAUGAUGCCAUCUUUAUGCUUGUAUGUGUUUUACAUUAGAUUGUACAAACUACAAAUCAGUCCUUACCAUUCUCUAUUAAAAGUUUUCAAUUUUACAAGUCAGUUAUCUAGGUUGUUGGUCUGUGUGUAUAAUUUUCACAUGCUUAUAUUUGUAUCUAGUAUAUUAAAAGCUUGCAAUUUUACAAGUCAAUUAUCUAAGUUGUUGGUCUGUGUGUAUAAUUUUCACAUGCUUAUAUUUGUAUCUAGUAUAAUUGUGACAUAUAAUGGCUCUUGUCUUGCCACUUAAGAACAUGAUAGAAAAGAGUAUAAGACAAAUAGUCGAGUCACAACACAACUUUUCUCCUAUAUGCUUGGUAGUUGAUGCAUAUAACAAGCAAUUUUCUGUUGUAAUUUGUUUGGUAUGUUUACGUACUCGACUGAACAAUAUGGAAUUUACUACAUGCCCUUUGCACUAUGCAAUGGGUUGCACAACAUCAAGGUAGGUUUUAGAAGGUAGUAUUUUUCCUAUAUAUUAGGUAGAGGAGGAAGUGAGAUUAUUCACAACCUUCUACAUAUGUGAUUUGAUUAGACCCCACCUGGUGAGACCGAGUUCACCACAGUUAAAGUUUUGAGGAGUGUUCUCUUGAUUGAGAAACCUUAAACACUAAGUUUAUGAGUUGACACUAGUGUUUAAUUGUCAUUCAAGUAAAAUGUGAACUGUAAUAAUCCUGGUUUACAUAUAUUCACUAAAAAGAGGACUUCAUUAAAUUGAUUUUUGAUAGAGGUCAAAGAUGUCAUUUGAUGUUACAUAUAUUUGAAAGUCCUCUCCUAGUCUGAAGUUUUUGGUGUUGUUGUGACUAAAAAGAAACGAGAAAUAUGGAUUACUAUUUUUAACGAGCAAAAACUGAUCCUUCUAGAGUAUAGUAUCAUGCAAUUUACAAUAAUCUGUGAAUAGAAGUCCUUCCAAGUCAUGGUGAGAUAUAUGGUUUGAAGAUAGGAUUUUGGGAUUGAUCAUUGUUGAAUUCGAAGGAUUUCUGAGGACAACUAGAUUUCCCUUAUACUCCCACCGUCCCUAGAUAUAAGCGCCCAUUGAGAAUUUUUUUUGUCCCUAAAUAUAACCUCUUUUCAAUUUUCUAGAUGCAUAGCCCACUUGGGUUGGCCUAGUGGUAUUGGCUUGGGACCUGGGAGUGUGCUCCUCUUCAAGGUCUCAGGUUCGAUUCUCUCCGGGUCAAUUUAGGUGGGCUAAUUUAGCUUUUUCAAAAAAAAAAUAAAAAAAUUCUAGAUGCAUUUAUUAUUUUUUUCCAAACAUAACCCUAAUUAAUACUACUAAUUUACCUUGGAAUAUGAAAAAGUCAAAUUUGAAUACACUACAAACAAGGACAAAUUUAGUAAUAUCCCCACAAAAUGAACAUAUUAAUUACACUUUCAUCUUUUCUUAAUCUUUGUCAAAUUUGCAAUGAGGGCUUAGAUUAAGGGACAGAGGGAGUAUUCAAGAUAAUUUGUUGUAAACUUCAUUAAAGCAUGCUGAACAAUUGAGUGCAAAACUGCAAAUGGCUUACAAAGUGUAAAGUCACAAAAUCAGACUUCAUUUAUUUAUUUAUUAUUAUUGUCUGUUGGCUCCCAGGAAACUAGAAGACAGUGAAGCUGCUGAGCAGUAUUGUGCAGAGAUUGGAAGAUCUGAUGCCUACAUGCAGUUUGUCUCCAUUUUAUCCUUUUGACGAUUUAUUCAUGCAAGUAACGGUUAUUUUACACAAAUAUGUUAAAUGCUGUUUUUUUUGUUUUUUGUUUUUUUUUUUUGUCUUCAGAUUGCUAGAAAUGUAUUUGGAUCCACAAGAUGGUAAGGAGCCCAUGUUCACUGCUGCUGUUCGCCUUCUCCACAAUCAUGGAGAAUCAUUGGACCCAUUGCAAGUCUUAGAGGUAUUAAGCUCAUUCUACAUCAGUUUUAACAAGUAGACAACAUUUUUCAUUGUGAACUGUCUCAUUGGCUGGUCUGGUCAGGCCACAAACCCCUAAUUUGGACCAGAUUUAGGAUCAUUAAACAUGUUGAAUACCAGAAACCGUGUGUCCGAUAUAUUAGGAGACAAUCAAAUUAAAAAAACAGUCAAAGACCUUUUUGUUUUGAGGGUGUGGAUAUAUGAUGGCAUUGGUUGGGUGUCACCAGAUUGGUAUGUUGUGUUAUAAAAUACACCUAUUUAUACUCAUCAUUGCAUCAGUAGAGAUUCAGGUCAUGUAUUUUUUUGCUAAUCCAACUGUUUCUGAAGCUCAUGCUAUUAAAACAUAUUUUUGUCUAUUCUCUUGUCAAGUUAGAUGUUGCAUGUAAGAUGUGAUGUAAAAAUGCUCGUGUUUUUACCUGACUGCUUUAAAUACUCUUUGACUAGAUGUUUUGAUAGGAAUAUAGGAAAAUAUUUUGUUGAUGUGUCUGAUAUCUCGUGUUACUAAAACUAUUAGCACCACAAGACGGUCACUAGAAAAGAUAGUAUGAAAUAAACAAGCAGGCAUUAUUUCAGCAAUAUUAAUUCCUUCAUAAUUCCUUGAGUAUAAUUAUCAGGAUUGGAUGGAAGGACUCUGCAUGUAAUCAUUUGCAGAUUUUCACUGUCUUCUCUUUAGCUGUUAUUGUAUAUUUUAUGCACUCCGCAGAGUUGUACUUACUAAAUCUUUUGGCUUUUAAAUGCAGAAAUUAUCACCAGAUAUGCCGCUUCAACUUGCUUCUGAGACUUUACUACGAAUGUUCAGGGCCAGAGUUCAUCAUCAUCGUCAAGGACAGGUACUUUCAGGUUUUUCUUUUCUAGGUUGACAUGAUACAAAUAAGAAUUGUAGUGGUUGCUAUCUAGAGUAAUGGGUGAUCUUGUUUUCUGUAACUUCUCUCCUAGUGAGGUGAAUUCCACAUGAUUUUUGCAACUACAAUUUGAGUGCUUUUGGAACAAAGUAUAUGAUUAGUUUAAAUACAGUCAUCUUUUGAAUAUAGUCUCUAAUGUAUCGCCUGUUUAUGUGGAUUAUUACCACUCAAGUUCAUUAUUGUUCCAGAACUUGAACCUCUUUUUUUACCAAAAAUUCCUUGUGGGCAAUCUUUGAGAUAAUUUUUUCAUAGUCUGACAAUUUAUGGUUGACAUUUUCCUGUCAUACUUUAAUAUAACUCUGUAGACAACCAUAUGUUUUGGGCUUGUAUUGGUAACUUUGGCAACAUAUGUUUCAGAUUGUGCAUAAUUUAUCUCGUGCCGUAGACAUUGAUGCAAGGUUGUCAAGAUUAGAUGAAAGGUCAAGGCACAUGCAGAUUAAUGACGAGAGUCUCUGCGACUCUUGUAAUGCACGCCUCGGUACCAAGUUAUUUGCAAUGUACCCUGACGAUACAGUUGUAUGUUACAAGGUUAGUGCUUGAUCGCUUUUCUCAAUUGAUUCAUCAAAUAGAGCUCUUUGCCCAAACUUUCUUGCCUCAUCCAUGAUUUUACUUCUAAGCUGUUUCCCAAUGUGUUAUUUUCGGAAUUCUCGACAUGGUUUCUAGUGCAGAAAAUAAAAUAAUGUUUGAAGUUACCUCAGUGGAUUUUUUUGGAAUUAGUCGUACUUUUUGUAAUUGUUAUCCGCUACAUCUUUUCUUUCAUUAUUCUUUUUAAUGUGUAAGUCAUUACUGUCUAAACUAGACUCUGGGGGAAAGCUGACUGAUGGUUUAAUCUUCCAGGACUAUAUUUGAUAUUCUUGUCUUUGAUAGUUUCUGGUCAUUGUUUAGCUGCGCUCCUUUAAUACUGACACUGUUAUUAGCGAUGGGUUUUCUUAAUUGUGCUACUAAUACUUUGCAGUGUUACCGUCGUCAAGGUGAGUCAGUGUCUGUCUCUGGUCGCAAUUUUAAGGAAGACAUCAUAAUUAAACCGGGUUGGCUUGUGAGUCGUUGAUCUUAGAAGUUGCCUGUCUCUUGGCUUGUGAGUCGCAAUUUUAAGGAAGAAAUCCUAAUUAAACAGUGUCUGUCUCUUGCCUGAAGCCUGAAGCUUAGAAGUUGCCAUUCCAUGCACCAAACUAAAAUCCUUCCAAAAUAUGUAAAAGGAAUGUUGAUCGCUCGCUCGGUUAUAUAGGUGCACAUUUAGCGUUUUUCAACUCCUAACCUGCUACACUUAAGAGUGAAGUUCAUAUAGUUAACUGCCACAUGGUGGUUCUGUAAAUAAAUCUGUUGAGUGGGCCAUUGUAUUCCCCAUACCCCUUUUGGAAAAUUGCUUUGUAAAUUUUGAUAUUGUAAAAUGUAUAUUUUUACAUCUAUCUAUAUAUAAUCAGCUCAUUCUUGCAUUCUAGUUCUUUUGGGCAUGCCAUGUUGGAAUUUGGUUACAAAGAUUAGACGGUUGAAUAUCAUCAUAGUAUUCUAUUGUUUUUAAAACGAUUGCUUGUAACUCCAUUUCCAAACUGUAGUAGAAAUAUAAAAUAGCCUCUCAAUAGGAACUGGAGGACUCGUUUAAGUAAUAAAAAAUGAGUGCAUAUGUGUACAAUUUAAUUUAAUUUAAACCAUGACUGCAAACUCAUUCUUAUGUGAAUCCUUGUUACUGAACGCUUGCUUUUUCUCUUCAUGCACCGUUGGUAUAAUAAUAAAAAGUCAGCAUAUUACAUUCAUGUGUGUAUAACUGGUUAUUAUAGUAAAAAGAAAAAUAUUUCUAGAUCUAACAAUUAUAUGAAUCAAUAUUUUUUUUUUUUAUGUAAAUCAAAUACAUCUUUGGACCAUCUCCAAUAAGAGGGUCUCAAAUAUUUAAGACUUGCUACAUCAUUAAUCUUUCUCGCACACAUUUUUUUAAUAAUAAGUGGAAUCCAUACGUUUUUUAAUAUUAAAAAAUUGAGAUGUAAUGAUAUAAAGUUAUUGCUAGUUGAUUAAUGAAUUUCAUUUAAGAAAUUUGUGAGAUACUGAGUUGGAGGAAUUUAGUGCUUAUUAAGCACUACUAUUAAAAAAUUAUAAAUAAAUGAUAUGUACACGUGUAAUGUAUUUAAAUAUUAAAAAAUUAGUGUCUCAGUUGUAGAUACUCUUACGUAACUACUCUCCUUGUUUCUACAUCUAGAUAGAUCUCUACGUAGUUUCUCAUUAAUAUACCAAUAGUAAAUGAAAAAGGAAAAAAAAAAAAAAACUAUUGGCGCCAAUUUAUCAUGAUUAUUUGGCACUUUGUGUCAUCUUCAGUAAAAUAAAAACGUAAUUUUUAAUCAGAAUCAAAAGAACUUUUAAACAUGAAAGAAAACAAAAUAAAAUUAAGUGAAAGAGAGGUGAAAUUUACCUAACUGUGUCGUUUGGAAUGUCACUCCUACGUCGUAGGAAACGGAAAAACGAAUGGUUUAUGCGAAAAAGAAAUAAUUGUUGUGAUUCUUUCAAUGAAAUAACUUUUCAAAUUGACUGAUUAUGUGAUUAUACAAAUUAAUGGUGGUUUGAUAGCAUCAAAUUUAUGACCAGAAUGUAGAACUAGAGUCUAGAAAAAACUCAUACGUGUACUGAAGAAGAAAAAAGAGUAACAUGCAAUUUUUUAAUUUAAGGGGGUGGAUAUUAUAAUUUUUUUAGGCCCAUUAUUUUUAAAAGCCCAGUUCAAUAUAGCUUCUUACACUCCCCAAGAUCCGGCCUGGUCAUCCCCACAAAGCUGAUACAUGAAUGCAUACUUAUCUCAUAGGCCCUAGAAUUUCACAUAAUUAACAUACUAGUAUCAUAGUAUUAUUUUGGAAAAAAACAUUUGAUUUCAAACACAUAUCUAUGAGCAAAGUCAUAUAAAUUUGGGGACCACAUGAAUUAUGCACAAGAAAAUAAGAAUACUUUUAAAACGUUGCCUUUCAGUAUCUGUUGUGUGGUUAAUAUCAAUCAAUUAGCAUUAUGGAAGUGGAAGUUUCAUCACUUGAGAAGACCUAAUCUUCAUUUCUUGAUUUAUAAGGAUCUAACAACGAGUACCGGUUAUUCAUUGGGACCCAAUUUACGGUUGCUUCUAGAUCUUGGUUCCAUUAUCCAUUUUUGUUGGGUUCAUAGGAACUAAACAAGUGUACCAAUAAAUACUUUCAAAAAUAAAAAAACUACCAAUAAAUAAGAACCUUAAUUAACAAAAAAAUUCCCAAAGGUCUGCAAUAAUAUUAUCCUUAUCAUUUCAAAGACCACACAUAUAAAUUGUGGCAAUUAUUUUUUCACUUAAUUUGUCACCUUUUAAUAUUUCUGACUAGGUACAUAAUUGGAUUGCUUAUAAAUACUCUCAUUGGUUCAUUUUCUUGUCAGUGUAAAUUGAGUGGCUGAUUCAACUAUUUAAUUCGUUGAUCAAUUUUUUUUUUUAUUUGGCUAAAUAUUCGUUGAUCAUGGCUUUGAAUUUGCCCUCCCCAGCUCAAGUGAAACCCUCAUUUUUCUCUGAUAUCAUCAACCCAGUUAUCACCCCCACAAAACUUCCAGGUUCUUCUCUCAUGUCUCUGUCUUAUCAUGCACGUACAUAUAUGGUUGAUAAAUAAAUAAUAAUGAUAAUAAUAAUAAUAAUAAAAAUAAAAUAAUCAUUAUCAUGAUCCGGUCAUAAAAAAUGAUAAUAUUCAUGAUAAGAGCUUCCUCUUUUCUGUAACAUAUAUUUGUGUUAACUUCCUUACUUAUAAAUUAUUAUUAUUUUACCAUAACUUGUGCUAUAUAUUUCCUCAAGAAGAAAAAAAAAAACUUGUGUUAGAAAUUCAUUUGUUGAAUUAACUGGAUUAAAAAUACUUAUAUUAUUCUUUUUCCAAUCAGCAAUACUAUCAUAACAUCACAGGAAAAAAAACAUUAAUAAAGGUAUGAUUUUUUUAAGAAGAAAAAGAGACUAAGGUUUAUAAAAAGUAAGAGAUUAAUUAGUAAUCCGCUACCUUUUUUUUAUUUAUAUAUUUAUUUAUUUAUGUGUUAUCUACAUAGAGUGUGUUGUACUUAGCUAUAAAAUUAAAAAUAAGUUAUACUACUUCCUAUAAGCUGCAUGGAUAGAGAUAUGGCACCCGAGUACGAAUACAAGAUGCAAGAUUUCUAGAAAAAUUAUGGUACGUGUAUGUUAAAAUUAAUACGAGGAACAUAAUUUGGGUCCUACAAGAUUCAAGGGAUUAAUCUCUGUAAUUGCGCACGCACAAGAUACCCUCUUUGCACAAAAAAAAUUAUACGAGGAAACUUCUUUUAGUAAAUAUAGCAUUUAACCUAAAAAUAUGAGAAAACGUCGUUCAUACGAAAAAUAAAGCUAGAAUAUAUAUAUAUAUAUAUAUAUAUAUAUAUAUAUAUAUAUAUAUAUAUAUAUAUAUAUAUAUAUAUAUAUAUAUAUAUAUAUAUAUGAAAAAUAGUUUAGAGAUGAGUCGGAUUUCAAGGUUGUAUUGUUCAAGAUUUCAAGGUUCGCUAAAGACAGUAUUUUUCAAGAUUCGGAGGUAGCUAACGAUGAUAUUUACAAACCCACUAACAAGAUCCCAACGCUAACAACAAGAGUUGAACUCACGUUUUUGGGCAAUAUGAACCAUCCUAUUAUCAACUGGAUCAACAUACGUUGAUAGGCAAAAGAUAUUUUUAUAUAAUAAAAAAGGGACGUGAUAUAUAUAAAAAAAUAGAGAAAAAAGUAUACAAUAUAAUAGGAAAAAUAGCCAUGAGUAUCCGAUAAGUAUCGAGUACGAAUACAUGACUUUUGAAGUACCCAUUUUUCAUAGAGUUCAUCACAUCAUAUUUUGUCAAAAUUUUAUCUAUAAUAAGUUAUCUAAAAUCUAUGGAUCAUAUGAGAUUCAACUUGACCUAUAUUUGGCAUCACGGUGGCCAUACCAAAAUCACGAUGACCCAUCAUGAUUUUUCAAAAGAUACACUUUGUAACUUCUGUAAAAUCAUGGCAAAUCACCUUGAUUCUGACAUAUCGACCGACACCGUGAUACCAAAUAUACACUUAGUAGUUAGUGUUUAGUUUUGUAGAAGUGUUAAAAAAAAAAAUUAUGUGGUUGCCUCCCAUUGGGGGACCAAAAGUGUGGAUAUAUUUUUUUUAUACACUAAAAUCAAAUGUUUUGGUCAUAGUUUGAUGCCAAUUUGUGCUUAGUUUGUAAUUUACUUAGCUAUAGUUAAGUUGAGUUUGAUUAUGGUUUGAUCAGGUAGCUUUGCAUUGAAGAGAAAAGAGGGUGACACAAAAGUAGUAAAGAGAAGAGUUUAUUGCUCAGCAGCACACUCACCACAACCAGCUUGGCCUGGAACAGCUAUUCCUGAACCUAGUGAUUUUAAAACAUGGGAUGGACCAAAACCCAUCUCUGUCUUAGGUUCAACUGGUUCAAUUGGAACUCAGGUAUAACUUUCAUGCAUCAAUAAACAUGACAUUUUCUUUUCCUUUUAUGUCAGUUUCUCUAUCAACAAUGUGAUAUUUUAGUAAAAAAAAUAUUGUCCCACUUUAUAUCUUACUCCCUCCGAUCCUAUUUACAAGAGAGAUUUCAAUUAACAAAAGUUAAUGUAACUGGUAUAAUUUAUUAACCAGGUACAUCAAUUUUUGUUGACCCAAUUUUUUUUUAUAUAAAUAGAACCAGAUAGAUUAUUUUACAAGAUUAAAGAAACAAUGUUAACAACACAUUUUUCCAAGUACGAUUUUUUAUAGAUUAAAAUUCACACUAAUCACACAGUUUAAAUGAGACCCAUAUAAUUUGGUCAGAUCUAUCCGAAUUUUAACCAAUUAAAAAGAAUGUUAAAACAUGUGUUAUAAAGUGUGUUGUUAGCACUCAUUGUUAUAUUAUGUUUAUGAGGUUUGUUUACUUAAUAAGGUAAGGUAAGUUCAACUAAAUUCCUAUAAACACCUAAAAAUAUCUUUAACAUUUUUUUAUUGAAAAAUAUCUUUGUAACUUAAAACUGAUACAGCUAUUUUUUAUUAUUUAAUUUGUAGUAUUAAGGUUGUCCUUGUUCAUGGAUUUGUAACACACAUGUCUUUAAACAUACCAUAUUAAUAAUCAAAGAUUUACAUACCAAAUAUUUGAAAUGAAAGAAUUUUUUUGUUUUAAAAAUUCCUCUUACUUAAAUUUGCAGACACUGAAUAUAGUGGCAGAGUUUCCAGAAAGAUUUAGAGUUGUGGGGCUUGCAGCUGGUUCAAAUGUUACUCUUCUUGCUGAACAGGUAACAAUUACCUUACUCCAAACAUGUAAUAAAACUUAUCUUAUAAGAAUGAAUGUAUAAAUUAUUCCUACACUUUUUAUUACAUUUCCAUAAGCUAUUUUCAACUUAUUUCUAUCAGCUCUUAAGGAUGGCUUAGGUUCAACAGAUUGUUUUUUAGCAUGUAUUUGUUCCAUCUUCCACUUUGCAUUUCUUCAUAAUCUGUGAAUAAUCUAAUGAAUCAAUACUAGGAUAAGAAAAGGAUUUAUAUGUUGUUAAAAAACCAAAGUUACCUAUAUGGUUGAUUUCUCUCUAUGAAGCACUAAUACAAGCACAAAUAUCGAUCAUGAUACUAAAACGUCAACAUAAGUAAUCAGUUGAGAAAAUGAAAUAACUCGAUGUAAUGUGUCAGUGUCGUGUUGGACACUGACACAUGUUGGAUACCAUACAUAUUUUUAAUCUAAGGUGUUGGUACUACAUCGGUUUCGUGUAUAUCUCAUUUUCCUAGUUUUUAAUAUUGUGCAGGUAAGGAUAUUUAAGCCUGAGUUAGUAGCUCUUAGAGAUGAGUCUAAAAUCGAUGAGCUCAAAGAGGCUUUGGCUGGUAUUGAUCACAAACCUGAAAUCAUCCCUGGGGAGCAAGGAGUCAUUGAGGUGAAAAUUUUCAUCUGUUUCAUAUUAUAUAUGAUUAGCUUAUAGACCCACCGUUGUUUUUUCCUUUUCUGAGCAGUAUUAAUUUUUUCUUUCAGGUUGCUCGUCACCCUGAUGCCGCCACAGUAGUUACAGGAAUAGUUGGUUGUGCAGGAUUGAAGGUAAACUUCAGAUCAUAUUUAACCAAUAUGGCUAAGUCUAGAAAAACUUUUGCUACAACUUUAUGUAACACAACUGUAUUUACAAUUACAAUGUCAUUCUCAAGCUAGAUAAUAAUCGUGUGAUGCUAAUCAAGGUAUAUAUGUUCAUGACUUCAUGCUCAUAGUGGUUUAUGUAACAUAUUUAUAUGAUACAAGAGGUUAAAACUCUAGAACUAAAAAAAGUUUAUUGGAUAUAACUUAGCAUAAUGAUGCAUCCUAUUGUUAUUAUUAUUUUCCACAGCCAACAGUGGCGGCGAUUGAAGCAGGGAAAGACAUAGCAUUAGCUAACAAAGAGACAAUGAUUGCUGGAGGCGCUUUUGUUCUUCCUCUUGCUCACAAGAAUAACAUCAAAAUUCUUCCGGCAGAUUCAGAACAUUCUGCCAUUUUUCAGGUAUUCUAAGUCCAUCAUCAUUUGCAUAAACUCUUUCUGCUGAUAAUUGAUCACUGAUGCUUAUGGAAUUUCCUCUACACAGUGUAUCCAAGGGUUGCCAAAGGGUGCACUUAGGAAAAUCCAAUUAACUGGUUCUGGAGGUGCUUUCAGGUAUGAAAACGUAGUUCAAAAAGAGUAUUGAAAAUAUACAACAGGAAGCUUCUAGAAUCUACAUAGCUGACCUGAAUUAUCAAUCGACAAAUGCUAAUAUGGUCGGUAUCAUUGACAGAGAGUGGCCUGCUGAAAAGAUGAAAGACAUUAAGCUUAAGGAUGCAUUAAAGCAUCCCAUUUGGAGUUUGGGAAGAAAGAUAACAAUUGAUUCUGCUACCCUUUUCAAUAAGGUAACUUAGUUCAUGCUACAAUAAUUUUUUUUCGAUGAAAAGUAUUUUCUUGCAAAAUCUAUUUAAUGAUAUGUUCUUAGUUAUAUAAAAUGUUUUGUUUUUGUUUUUCCUUCUUGGCAGGGUUUAGAAGUAAUUGAAGCACAUUACUUGUUUGGAGCAGAAUAUGAUGAUAUUGAGAUUGUUAUUCAUCCACAAUCUAUCAUACAUUCAUUAGUUGAAACACAGGUUUAACCUUUUUUACAAUAUAAUGUGUUCAAUGUUGUUACUUAAUAUACAAAGUUAAUAUACAGAUUUAUUACAAAAUGAUAUUUUUGUUGUUGUUAUUUGCAGGAUUCUUCUGUUAUUGCACAGUUGGGAUUACCUGACAUGCGGUUGCCACUCCUUUAUACUUUGUCAUGGCCAGAAAGAGUCUAUUGUUCUGAAAUUACUUGGCCUCGCCUUGAUCUUACCAAGUACAAUCGAUUCUCCUUGUUUCAUAUUUAUACUAUAUCGUAGAUGGCUUAAAUCACUGAGAAACAAUAGGAAUAAUCGUAGCUAGAUUGACUUAUUUGAGCUUAUCUGCUGACAUAUGCACUUGUAAGACUGUUUGAGAGUGGCAUACUUUUGCAAAUAUUUCAACUUAUUCAAAGUUUUAUUUAAAUAUAUUCUGAUGGAUCAGGUAUGGUACUCUAACAUUUCAAGCUCCAGACACUAAGAAGUUUCCAUCAGUGAAUCUUUGCUAUGCUGCCGGACGUGCUGGAGGCACCAUGACCGGAGUUCUUAGUGCUGCAAACGAGAUAGCUGUCGAACUGUUUGUUGCAGAAAAGUAAGUAUAAUCUUAGUUACUUUCCAUAGCAAUUCUGCGUUGAGAAUUCUACUGCAUUUUUGUUGAUUGAACAUCUUAGUUACUUUCUAUUUUUCUCUCAUCAGGAUAAGCUAUCUAGAUAUUUUCAAGAUUGCAGAGCUAACAUGUAAUGAACAUCAAAAAGAAUUGGUAACAUCUCCAACACUUGAAGAAAUUCUUCACUAUGAUCAAUGGGCAAGACAAUAUGCUGCUGGUUUGCAAAAAGCUUUAAGUGUUUGAAUCUAAUGUAGCUGUGUGGUCAAUUGUUGGCAACCCACCACUAGCAUAUUUUGUUUAUGUUCAUAAAUUUUGUUUGUAUAAAAUGUAAAGGGUAGCAGUAUAUAUGUGUUAAAAAGGGUUUCAAUAAAAGCUCUUAAGUUAAAGCAUACUAUCAUAUUUUGAGAUGAUAAUGUCAUCCAAUAUGUUGUUCUUCCACUUGAAGAUGUUAUAAAUUUCUCUUGAGAAGAAUUAUAUGAAAUUGUUGACAGAAUGAAUUUGAACAAACAAGUGUCUGGUUAGAUUGACGGUGAAUUUCACAAAAAAAGGGUUUCCGUUAAUGCUUAUGAUUAAUAUAUUUUUAAUUUUAAGAAUAUUAGUAUAACAUAUAUUGAAUUGGCAUAAUUUGUAUAAACCCUCUAAAAUCCUGCUCCCAAAUGUGAGAUUUUGUACUAUGAAGAAAAAUAAAUCCUCCAAAGUCAUUCCCUCUCAAAAAAAUUUAUUUCUUUCACUUGCUCAUUUCUUUUUUCCAAAACCCUCUCAUCCCUUCCCCUCCAAACUCGCAAACAAAGCUUAUUGGAAAUACUGCAGUAGCUAAAAUCACUAAUUACCACGGUCGAAAAUCAAUAGUGGUACACUUUUACUAGAAGGAAAUGUCCAGAAAUCACAAUGCAGAAACAGUUGAAAUUUCUAGACAUAUUGUGGAAAGUUAUGAAUAAGGAUGGACCUAUAAAGUAAUAAAUAUGUAAAAUCCCAUAACAAUGAUUCUCCAACACACAUUAGGUCAAUAGAUUUGCUUAUAAAUGGUCAUCAUCUGAGUUAUACAACAUGAGUUCAAAAUCUAAAUUAUUGCUAUAGAGAAGAAGACUAUAAAGGAGAAGCAACAUAUAAGUAAAAGAAUUAUCACACUUAAUAUAACCAUCAAUUCAAAACUGGUAGAAGCUAUGGUGAUCCAUUCGAUCACUCAAUUUCCAUGGCAGUCAAACAUUUGCAAACACAUCAACAAAACCUUUACAUUACACAAAACAAUCAAAACAAGUACCAACCUUUGUAAAUUAAAUAGGGAAAUUUUCUGAGGACCGACUAAUACAAGAGUCUGCCAUCAUGUAAAUCUUGACAAAGUGACUAACCCCCUGAAUUUCUCUGAGGUGGUUUAUAGUAUUUGAUGAUCAAAUAAAAAGUGAGAAGACAAAACUUGGUGUAAGCCUGUGUCACCAAAACAAAACUUGGUGGAUUCUUUUUUACUUGACACUCCGGUUCUCAGAAAAAGGAGUCAUGGUAAUUCAGAGAUUAAUCGGGAGGUAAGUAGAAUUGGACUUCAAAAUGUAAUGAUUUUAUUUGUGAAAAGAUGCCUUCUGACUUUAUCGAUGUGUGUGUAGACUGCUGCAUUGGUGGUUAUAAAACCUUCAAAAAUUGCAGAGAACGAAUGCAAUAAAUCAUUGCAAAUGUGAUCCAAUCCAAGAAGAAUUAUAAUCACCCUCCAGAAGAUGUAGCAUUUGCAAUGCUUUGCAAGAAUAAGAUCCUAGAAGCAAUGUCAGUUGAAAAGCAUCCCAACACAGCAAUGGUAGCUGUACUGCUUCCAAACUUUUCAAUUCCCCUAGAAAUCAUGCAUGUGUGACUUGCCUCUACAACUACUAUUACAUUUCCACCUAAAAGAGGUGAUAUGGUUUCUGCUAUUUGCUUUGUAAGCCUUUCCUGAACUUGGAGCUUGAAACCAUAAAAAUGUACUAUCGACUGUAAGAGUGAUUUUCCAAUCGGACUGAAUCCUUCUGAAAGGAAAUAUCCUAUGUGAACAACGCCGUGAAAUGGAAGUAUAUGAUGCUCACAUUGUGACCAAAACGGCAAGUUCAACUCGGUGUAUAUUUGUUUAUCAUUAUUUACCACCUCGCCAGCAGCAUUCAAAGGUUUUAUCCCGCCACAAACGGAGCCAUUCAGCUUCACAUCCAUGUCAAUGCUUUGGAAGUUCAACAGCCAUUUCACGAAACGAUUAGGAGUCCCUGCAAGCUCCUUCCUAACCGAAUCUUCUCCCAAAGAUUUUAGAAUUGAAAACACUGCGGUGACCAUUGCCGGAUUGAUCGAUCCCGUUUUGGAGGAAACUUUGGUGGAGAGAGAUGGACACCAGCAUUGGUCGGGCAAUCCCUGAGCAUGAAUAUUUUCCAUAUCAAUGCCUCUAGAUUUAAUAAGAUAAAAGAAAUCAGCCCAUACGUCUGCGUUUUUGUUUUCAAAGACGCCAGAACCUGACGAAACAUGUAUCUUCGCCCCACCUUUUAGGCUUGAUUCUAGAAAGAUUGUUUCUAUGUCAGGAAAGUGAAUAUGUGUACACUGAAGUACGACGGCAACCCCUGCUGGUUGAAUUCCCUGUUGUAAAGCUGAACACACUUCGUCUGCCAGACGCUGAGGCUCUUGAAGUCGUUUAGCAAAUACUUCGGCGACACGAGAGAGCUUGCUUAAUCCAACAACUCUUUGGCCAGAAGGGACGUAACCGACAUGACAUUUGACUUGGAAAGGUAGCAAACAAGAUUCACAGUAGGAAUAGAGGUCAAUGUCUCGGACAAUCACAAGUCCGCCUGCACCACCAGCAUGACCGAUUUUAUUAUUAUCUAUGCCAGCUUCAGGAAAUAAAGCACCUUCAACAAUGUCCUUCACUUUUUGUCUAUAACCUGGAAAAGGAUCAAUUCCUUCAAGAUUAGCAACAAUAGUAUGCAAGAAACUAUGUGAAUCAAACAUGCAAAACAAGAGAGCAAAUUAUUGGGCUAAUAUGUUAGGAAAAAAACAUAGAAACAGAAACAAGAGAAAGAAAUCGGAUGCUAAACUAUUCCUCUUUCUAUCUCACUUAAAUACAUCGAUGGAACUGCUCACUUAUCAUUAAGAGCCAAUACUCAACACAAGGUACAAAAAGAAAAUGCAUCUACAAACAGCCUUGAUUGGAUUGAACUACCCUGUUGAUCGAAUAUUUUUGUAAAGAAGAACAAAUGACUAGUUUCCUCAGAACAUCUCUCCAUGCAAUAAUCACAUACUAUAAUUAUCCAAUAAAUCACACAAAUUUCCUUGACUACAAUCAUUUUUUUCGUCUCAAUUGAAAAUAUUCAAACUUCCCUAAAAAGGUUGAAAGAUUAAUAAGCAGUACCUAUAUCCAUCCCAUCCCACUAACAUGAACAACUUCCUAUCCAAUUUAGAUAUUGAACCAUACACAAUUAUAUUCUGCAGGAAAGUUGAAAAACUAUACAACAUCAACCAAGCCUUAUCCCACUAAGUGGGGUCAGCUCCAUGGAACAAACAACCAUAAUGUUCUAUCAUAUACUAUAUUUCUGUCCAACUCAUUAAUCUCUAGAUAAAGUUGAAAAAGUAUAACUCCCAUAAAAAAUAAACAUCAAUGCUUAAUUCAAAACAUUACAAUCCAACCACUUGAAAGAAAUCUUAUACCAAACUUUUAAACAACUAAUAUACUAAGUUGUUAACUAAACAUAUCUCAUAAGAGAAACAUCAACAAAACUACAAUGAUUCAAAUCAAAUUCACUACAAACUUCAAAAGACCAAACAAAAAUCACCUCUAGUUCCUUCACGUAGAGCCUUUGCAACACGAUGUGGUGUCUUCCUAAGACCUUCCCUAUUAAUAUCUUCACCAAGACCCAACAAAAGAAUCUUCACAGCAUCUUCAAUAGCAACUGUAUUAGCCUCAUCUUCAACCUCACUACACCCAAACAAACUCACUCCAUUUUCAAGCUCACCAUUGUAACACACCUCAUCAAAACACCCCAUUGAAAUCACACCCAAAAAAUAGCAAAAUCAAGAUUGACCCAGAUUUGCUGAAAAUAUCAAACUUUCCUAUAAAGGGUCCAAAAGGGUGAUUAAAAAAAUUCUCAGAACAACGUAGAAUGAAUCAAAAACACGAACACACGUUAAUCACAUAUUAAAACAACAUAACAAACAUUGGAAUAAGAAUAAGGUUGAUGUUGGAAUGUGUGGAUCCUAAGGUUUCUCUAAUGUAAUCUAAUAAUCAGAAUAAUAGUAAAAGAGGACCCCAGAAUCCAAAAAAGAAAAUGAUUAUGGCAUUUGUGGGGAGGAUGUUAUUGUCGGCCACAUAGAUAUCUCUAUGCAUCACUUAUUUUCCAACACUAAAAUGUCCUCAUAAUAAUUUUGACAUCCAAAAGAGGGACGUAAAUGUUUAAAAAAAGUUUAAUCAGAAGAGGGCCAAUCGCACCGUCUACUAACAAAAAUACAAUUGAAUAUAUAAUUUGCUAAACUCGUUCAUUAUAGUUAACAAAAGUCCGUAGUCUUGUACCAAAAAUAAAAUAAAAAAUAAAAUGCAUUUAGGAUAAUCUAGAUCGUCUGAUUUUGAUCGGACAAUUCAAAAAAUAUGUAGAUUUAUUUAUUUUAUAUUUUAAAAUAUUCAAAUUGAAAUCAGACUGUUCAAUCAAGAUAGAAUGGCUCCCGAUCUUCAAUUAUGUGAUUGUGGGUUCUUGCUGACAACAUAGAAAUUGAAAUCAAGAAUCACACGUUAGAGAGUAAAAUGUGAUUUAUCAUUAUUCAUCAAGAGAUAGAAAUGCAUUAGUAAUAUAGAUAAAAUGAAAUUGAAUGUUGAAAGAUCAUACAUUAGUUUCUCAUGUGUAAAUUGUAGAGAACCCAUUUCUCACACAAUUGAAGCCAAAUAAUAGCCAUGUAUGGAUUAGUCCAACACAUAAUUAUUUGCACAUUUAUGAUUUAAAUAUGAAAUAUGGACAAUUAAGUUCAGUUCAAAAUACAAAUAAUUUUGUUCGGUUCAGUUAUUUUAAAUUUAACAAACAUUUCAGUUCGGUUCAGUUUUCAUCCUGAAAUGAACCAUGCCCAUCCCUAGCUACCAUAAUAUGGUAUUCAACCUUCACAUUAGAUAAAGCAAUUGGUGCAAGCGGUGGAAGGCAAGGUGUCUCUCAACUCCUCUGAUAUGUGGAAGUGGAACCUUGACUCGUCGGGCGUCUACUCGGUUAAGUCGGCUUAUGGUCAGCUCUCUCGUGUCCUUUCAUAUGAUAACUCUCUUAAUCAGUCUUUGGUCUUAUCUUUAUCCAAGGUUUGGAAGUCAAAAUUUCCUAGUAAGGUGGCUACCUUCGCUUGGAAGCUUCUUCAGGAUAGGGUGCCUACUCGCCUCAAUCUUCUUAGGAGAAGGAUCUUAGUGGAUCAGGGUAGUGCGUUGUGUGCUUUUUGUGGGGUGUUUGAAGAGUCGACGACUCACCUUUUUUUUUAGUGUAUCAUUGUUACCCCUAUUUGGUAUUCCAUAGCUAGGUGGUUGGGAUGGGAUUUAGUUCCUCAUUCGUCUAUUUUAGGCCAUUUUUAGGGUUUCCUUAGUUUGGGGUAUAAUAAUAGAGUUGGUCGAGGUUUACUUUUAGUUUGGCUUGCUAUUGUGUGGUCUUUCUAGAACUUCCGUAAUGAUUUGGUCUUUGCUGGAGGGACUCAUUAUGUCGAGUUGAUUGUGGAUCGGGUGAAGUUCGUCUCUUGGAAGUGGUUCCAAGCUAAGAGCUUUGCGUGUCUCUGCUCCUUAUACGAGUGAGAGGUGCAACCUAUCAUGUGCUGGUAUCAAUAGGGUCUGAGGUGUUGUGUGUGCGGCGCGGUGGCUUUGUGGGGUGUUUUGGCUGGUGGCCCCUGCUCGGUUUUGCUUGGCAGCUUGUUUUUCCUUGAGGGGCUGGUUGUUGUGUUUAGGGGGCCGAUUUUUGUGGUGUCUUUUUGGGGUUUUGUUUUGUGCUCUCUUUUUUCGCAUUUUUACUCGUGUUAUUGUGCCUUUUGGUUGUAUCCCGUGCACCACUGGUGCUGGAUUUCUGUUUGUCUUUAUCUGAUUCUUUUUGUACUUUCAAGUUGUUUCCCAUGUUUUUGCCAUUCAAAAAAAUAAAUAAAUAAAACAAUGGUGUUUUUUUUCUUUUCCAUGAAAUAAUAUUUCCUUUUAUAAGAACACAAUAUCUGGAAAUGAACUCCUAUCCAUUAUAAGAUCAAGUGCCAAAUGCCAAAGCAUUACCGUCUAACAAGAUUAAUUACAAAGAGGAAUGGUUCGUGCAAUUUCAGAGAAAUUUUUUGUCAUGUCUUUUGGCAUUUUCUCAAGUUUUAUGAAGCCUGUUUGGAUUGACUUAUAUUAAUGUUUAUGCAAAACAAUUUAUUAAAUAAAUAAAUUUUUAUGUAUAAUUUAUAAGUUUGUUAAUGUAGUAUAUGAAAAAAACUCAUGAACAUACAAUGUUCGUUAGUGAAAACUUGUAAAUUAACAUAAAAACUUCUUUAAUUGUAUAAACUAUUUUUCAUAAGCAUAAAUUAAGCUCAAUCCAAACGGUACAUGAUUUUAUGAAGAAAAAAAAAAAGAAUUAAUAAUUUUAUAAGAACUUAAAUAAAAAAUUGAGAUUCAUAAAAAAAAAAUAAAAAAUUGAGAUUCAUAAAAAAAAUAAAAUAAAAUUGAUAUGCUAUUUUCUUUAAAAGAAAAAAUUAGUUAUUUUGGGUUAAUAAUUAUUUCAUAAAUGAGAAUUGAUGUUCCCACAUUUGAUAAGGCUAUGGCACACGAGUAAUUUACGUUUUUGCCCCCUCGACAGUUAAUUACUGAUGAAUUAGAACUUCGGCUGCAGUUAACUGCUGAGGAAAACCUCGGGAAUUAACUGCCGAUGAACUUAAAACUUGAAAUUAAAUAAGGAAAUACACUAAGUUUUUCCUUAAUUAAAUUUAAUUCUUUAAUAAGGAAAUAUUUGUAAUUAUUUGUAAUUAAUUUCAUUGAUGUCUAUCAUUAUUCAAGGUAAUAAAAAAUAUUCUUUUUUUAAAAGGUAAUAAAAAAAUAUUCUUAAUCUUAACCAAUAUAUAUUCUUAAUAUUUAUUUUUUUUCUUAAUAUUUAUUCUUAAUAGUGCUAAGAUUUAACUCAUAAAAUUAAAUGUAAAUUAGAUUCAAUUUUCUUAAUAUUUAUUCUUAAUAGUGCUAAGUUUUAUAGGAAGGAAGAUGUAAAAACAAUUUUAUUGGCUAUUGGUUAUGGAAAAAAUGAAAGAGAGAGAAAAUUGAAUGUAAUUUGCAUUUUAUUUUAUGAGUCAAAUCUUAGGACUAUUAAGAAUAAAUAUUAAAAAAAUUAAAUAUAAUUUGCAUUUAAUUUUAUGAGUCAAAUCUUAGCACUAUUAAGAAUAAAUAUUAAGAAGAAAAAAAAAAAUUCUAGGAGAAGAAGCCAAGAUAUAAUGGUAUUUUGUUUAUAAUAAACACAAUUAAUUUAGAAACAUGCAAGUGUACGUGUAUGUAAAAUCAACAAAUCAUCAAACACAUUUCAUAUUCUAGGAGAAGAAGCAUCCACGAGCGUCUGAAAUCAUCAACACUGUUCAACUAUGUUUCGAUUAUCUCUUUUUUAAAGCUUCAACAAAACAGUAUAAUAAAAAAGGUAUGAAAUAGUUAAAGUGCCGAAGAAGUUUUUUUUUUUUUCUUCUCUUUUUUCGUCGGCAGUUAACUGCAACCGGUUCUUUAACUUCGAUAGUUAACUGCCGCAUGGGUAUUUUCGUCUUUUAUAUGUGUUUUUCACCUUAUGUGUCGACAACAAUUCUCUUAAUAAAUAAACGGUUAAACUAUUAACCCAAAAUAAAAUUAAAAAGGUAAUUUCUACGGUACACUCAACAAAAUUGAGUGCAUCGGUACACCUACAUAUUAAAUUAAUAGUUUAAUGAGUUACUUUUUAAAAAAAAAUAUAUUUUCUAUCAGUUAUAAUUAUAAUAAUUAUAUUUUAUUUCUCAAAAGUGUCCGCAGAUCAAAAUUCAAUUUUUUUUAUUUUUAUUACUCAUAAUAUAGUGAAUAUUGAUUAUUUUUUCGAUAAAAUUUUAAAAAAAUUGUAUGAUUCUUAAAAAAAAUGAAAUGAUGUUUUUUCUUAUGAAAUAAUAUUUUCUAAAAUAUAAAAGUCAACAAAUAUCUCUUUAUUACAUAAAAAUAAUCAUUAACGUAUUGAUUUAUGAAAUAGGUGUCUACCUUAGAUACUUCCGAUUAAAAAAAAAAAAAAAAAAACACUUUCUUAUUCGAAUCUUGAAUGGCUUCUUCUUCUUCUUCCCAUGGAUGCUACCGCCAUCAUCAUCACCACUGCCAACACUGUCCCCUUCGCCAUCAUUGCCACCACUGCCCACUCCACAACAACAACCCCAACCCUCCUCACUUCUCGCAAUUCAAUUUCACUUCUCCUCAUCUUCUUCCUCAAACUCAUUCUCAAAAUAUCUUUCCUCUCAAUCAACCUAUCAAUGCUUCUGCUGCUCAGUAAGUUCCUUUCAUUCUUCUCUUGUUGGUAUUAAUUAGCGUUUUUUAUUUUGAUUCAGUCUCUGCAAAUUCUAGAAAUUGAUUUUUUAGUCCUGAUGUAGGCACUACGUAUGAUUUUAGGGAUUAAAAUCAUAUUUAAACCUUAAUUUUAUGAAUUUAACUAGUAUACUCUGGCUGUGUACUAUUAUUUUACACAUGCAGUUAAUAAAUAUGAAUACACAUGAGAUGACAUAUUAAUUGAACUCUAAUUCUGUUAUCAUUAUAGUAACACAUGGUUGUAGUUUUGAUUGAAAAAUAUUACAUGACAUUGAAAAGAGGGUAAACAAAAGUUUUGAUAAGUGAUUAAGUGGAUGUUUUGGUUAGCGGUGAGAUCGUCAGACUCACGGUGAACCAGAUAGAUUUUUGCAAAAGCUACACUUUGUAGCUUCAAUAAAAUCAUGGUGUCACUGUGAUUUUGUCUGUCUCGCCGGCACCGCUCAUCCAACCAUAUAUUUCAAGAUACUAUGUCUACACAGCAUUCAAAGAUAUUUCAAGUAGGUAGAAGUGCUAACAUUGUGCCAUACAUUUUCUGAAAUUGAAUUGAAGUUGAGAAGAUGCUACAACUUUAUGGUUCGUGAAAAAUCAUGUAGUUUCUACGUAUGACCAAAGUUAGAGAAAAAAACAAAUAGUUUGAAACUUUAGAUAUCUAGCGAUGUCAACCGCAAAUCGUUGGUAAUAGAGUCUGUUCAAAUUACGCUACUUUUGUAGUGCUACAUACAUAACCACUAUUUGACCACACUUUGUACUAUAUAGAGAAUUGCAGAACAAUAGUCAGCGGUUUUUUCAAUUUCUGCUACGCUAUAGCCGCUCUUUGACAGCACUGUCAAUAAAUUCAGAAAGUUUAGUUUAAAUCUUACUGAAACAAAUUGAAGUUCAACAGUGUAGGACUAGGAUGCUUAUACUAUAUUCAGAAUUGAAAGAUAUUUCAAGUAACUGGAAAUUCUAACAUUGUGCAACAAAUUUUAUGAAAUUGAGUUGAAGUUCCCAUGACAGUAGUAAAUAAGAUGCUAGAAGUUUGGUGAAAAAUUAUGUAGAUUGUAUGAUCAAAGGUAAAAAAGAAAACAAAUAACUUUGGAACUUUAGGUAACCAGUGUUGUCAAUUGCAGAUUGCAAAAAGUAGCGGUUUGUUCAAAUUCCGCUAAUUUUAUAGUGCUAAUGAGCUGCUAUAGCCGCUAUUUGACAACAAUUUGUGGUAAAUAGCGUAUUGUGGAACAAUAUCAAUUUGUUCAGAUUCUGCUACGUUAUAGCCGCUAUUUGAAAACAAUGUCUAGAACUUAAAAAAUUUAAGUUUAAACCUUACUGAAACUAAUUGAAGUUCCACAGAUGGUUUUGUAUCCCCAAAAUAGACUAGGGAAAUAAACAAAUGCCACUAAAUGCAAUGCUUGUAAGUUUAGAAAAAUAUAUAGAAUCUGAAUUUAACCAUUGAUAGUAGAUUGUGAUUUCCACCAUGAAUUAAGGGAACGGGAAUGGAACACUAAAUUUUUAAAAGCAAUUUGUUUGGUUUGAGUGAUUAUGAAAGAAACUGCAUAUAAAUGUAUUUAGGAUUAUGUCGAUUAUAUGCCUCAACAAGAGUUCCCUUAUCUUUAUCUCAAACAAAGGAUAUACUGACAUUUCCUCAAAGGUUUUUCCUUUGAUAACUGGCCUGGUUAGUUUGAUUUUCUACUAUUGCUCUAUGUGCCAUUAUUUCCUGUUGCAUUUCAUUAGAUGCUGGAUAUUGUGCAGUCCUAGUUAGCCUAGUUUCUUACUGAACAUCUCCUAAUGUGCAUGGUUCGAUCUAUGUCAUUAAGAUUCGAUUAAGUUUUACAUUUGCUGCCGACUCUCUAACACAGCCCUCUUGUAAUCCUAUUAUCUGGGUUUGGGUAGCAAGGCUAACUAUAAGAGAAACUGUUAAGAAAGACCUAGAGAUUAAUGAGUAGGAUGGAGAUAUGAUAUGUGAUAGAAUAUUAUGGUGUCCAUUGAUCCAUGUAGCCGAUCCUACUUAAUGAGAUAAGCUUAAUUGUUGUUGCAUGGUUUGAUGUGUUGCUGGAUGUACUUUAUUAUAAUUAGAAACCUGUCACAUUGAUUGAGUCAUAGGUUUCAGUAAGACUAAUUCAUCCAUCCUCUUUAUUUAUUGUAUAUGAAUGUAAUCGAUCUUAUGACGCUUUUGGAUGACAUCAGAAUUUCACAAGAGCAGGAGCAUAUUGAGCUAGACGGUGACGAAGAGGAUGAUGAACCGAUUUUUGUUCUCACCGAUGAAUGGAGAGAGUUCUUUGCGAAAUCUGAAGCUAAAAGGAAACUAGGUAACUCUCGUCAUACAUACUUCAUUCAUACUACAUACAGCCACAUAAUGCUUUUAUUUGUGCUAAAUUGUAAUUUUUUAUUCUCAACUGAUCUUACUGUUGAAAAAUUGAGCAUGUCAUAUACUGUUUGACUAUGAGUCUGUUUGGAUUGGUUUAUUUGAACUUAUGUAUAGGCAAAAACACUGGCAAGACUGUUUGUGGAGCUAUGGAAGCAGUUUAUGAUAUGUCAAAAGCUGUUUUAGGAUAGCUUAUAUGAAAAUAGUUUGAUUUUGUUUUAUAUUUUCUUAUAGAAAUAGCUUAUACACAAGCACUUAUAUGAUAAACACUUAUGCUAUAAACAUUUAAUCAAGUUGUCUAUCAAAACAUGGCUUACUUAGAUUCGUCCAAUCUGCUUUUAAGCCAAUUCCGCUGACACACAGAAAACAUAAUCAGUGUGAUAUAUCUGAGUUUGAAUGAUCACAAUAAGAAGUUUAGGAAAAAGGAAAUUCUCAAUUACCUAACUCCUAAUUUUGAUAUUUAUUUUUGUACAAAAUCAUACAGAGAAGAAGCAGGCUAAGAAAGCAAAAAAGUAAAAGCAGAGAGGAGUGUUUGUUGGCGAAUUCUUUAUGGGUAUCAAGAAGAGGUUGUUCAAGGUUAUUGACGACAAUCCUGCUAUCGAGAACGUUAUGUGCUUGCCAUGUAUGACAACUCUUGCCCCUUGUCUGCACAUUUUAAAAGGAUGAUGAAUUACUUACUAAUACAUCUGUACUUAUACAGAUCGUCUUUUGUUCUAUAAAAAAUGUUGUCUGUAUAAAUUUUAUAAACUCAAGACUAAUUCAUAUUAUGACUUUUUAAUGUUCUUAUCCUUGUAUUUUCCGAUAGUUACUAGAGAAAAUGGCGUUGAAAGAAAAAGUUGAAUAAAUUGCGCUUGCAAUGGGCAUUGAAAAGUUCUAAAGAAUUUGAAAUGCUAAGAAUUUGAGCUGUAUUAAUUUAAUGCACUUUUGCAAAAUUUAUUUUUUGGAAAGUGUUCAAUGAAAUUAGUAUUUUUAAGGAAAUUGAACCAAAUACAUCAAUUUUAUCUGACUAAUUUUUUCUUAUAAUAAUUUUGGACGGAGGUAUCUAUGUAAACUCGUGUAUUUAGGUAAUGACGGAUGAUAUGAUUUUCGGUUUUAAUUUGGUAGGAAAACAUGACUUUAUAAUAUCUAUAAUAUCCCUGUAAGCUUCAUAUUUUAAUUUGAUAAUCUCCAUGUAUGAUAUACUUAUAUCACAAUUUAAAGCUCUUUGUCCCUUUUAAAAAAAUGAGUUAUGUAUAGAUCAAACCACCAUCAUCCACCUACAAACUCAACAUUGUCUAGCCAAUUGAACUAUACCUAUUAAGUUGAGAAAAUUUUAUUUAUUCAAAAUUUACUUUGAUAUAUAAACUUAAAAUAUAAAUUAUCAGAUGAAAUUUGUGCAACACAAUCUUUGUUCUAAAUGUUUUCAACAAAAACGGUUCAAUGCAUGGUUCUCAUGAACUAGAUAUCAAAUUUCACUUAAGAUAUAGAUUUGAUGUGUCGGGAAUGGAAGACCAUAAAAUGUGUUGACAAUGACUAAUCUCUAUGUGAAACCAAAUUAUUGGUUGUUGAAAUAAUAUCGAGCUCCUUAACAAAUAAAUAACUUUGAACCAAAUGACUAAGAUAUUUUGUUUUUCUUUUUUUGGUAAAAACACAAAUUGUGUACGGAAAAUGCUGCAGCACACAUAUGUGGAAAACACUUGGGUGACAUUGAGUGUCAUGUGAUAUUGGGCAACUACAAUGUCACAAGUGUACAAAAUAACAAAAAUUUCUUGUAAGUGAGAGAGAAGAAAGCCAAAAUUUUUAUUUUGUACACUUGUGUCAUUGUGGUUGGCCAAUGUCACAUGACAUUGGCACCCCAAUGUCACCCAAGUGCUACCCACACAUAUGUGGUCACAAGCUCAAGAAAAUCUUCCAUCUUGCUAUUAUUAGUUGGUAUGGUCAUAUACGUUGCUUCCUGUCUUAAAUUUAAUUCAAUCGGAAAUCAUGUUGUUCCUCAAUACCUAAAAAGUUAUACCUACAAUACGAUAAAUAGUCGUCACUUCUUUAGGUUUAUGUACACGUUGAUAUCAGUGGCAGAUCCAGGAAAUUUAUGGAGUCCGGGCAAAAAAUUAAUCGUAAAUUCACAUGUGCAUAAUAUAUAAACAGUUAUAAAUCAAAAUAUUUUUUUUAUUUUUAUUUUUUUUCCUAAAAAAAAUUGAAUUAAAAGAGGUUUAUCAUUUUGUCAACAAAAGUACAAUUUAAAAUAGGGUUAUUAAUUGAAAUUGACCACAUAAUAUACAUGAAGUCUGAAAAUUUACCCUGUAAUUAAAUAACAUGUAUUUUGACCAUGUAAUUCGAGAUUUUUAUUAUUUAUAACCUGUAAUAUACGCGAAGUCCAAAAAAGAAACCGAGAGAUUGAAUUUUUACAUGAUUUCCUAGAGGCGAGUUAAAAACGUUAAAAUAUGGCUUUAACAAAAAAAAUUAUAAAUUUUCGACAAACGACAAAUUAAUUAUGAAUUUUUAAAGUGUCAAAAGCUCAAAAAACAAAACAACGGAAAUCUCGAUCUAUAAAUAGAAUUUUGAGCUCAUUAUUUGCAGAGAAAUCUAUAAAAAAAUACAUAAAAAGGAUAUGUAAAGUUUCAUAACAUUUCAAAGUCGUUUAAAUUUAUUUUGAUUUUUCAACUAAAACGUGCAAAAUUGAAAUUUUGUUCCGCGUAAGUGUAUACUCACAAGUCAAAUUUAGUUCCCUAAUUUUGUAGGCAUGACUAGAACAUGAUAAGAACCUUCACAAUGAAAUUUUGUAAUUUUUAAACGAGAUAAAAAUUAAUUAUAAAUUGUUUAAGAAAUUCAUAAUUAUGAGGGAAUAAAAAUUCAUAAUUAAUUUAUCCCUGGUCGAAGAAAUUUAAUUUUGUGUAAAGCUAUAUUUUAACGUGCUAAACAUGUAUGAAAAAAAUAGUGAAAAAAUUCAACCCGUAGGUCACAUUUUUAGACUACACGUAUAUUAUAGGAUGGUCAAAAUUAAAUAAGAAGAAAUUCAAGUUACAAUGCUAGAAUAUAUGUUUUGUAUUUUAUUGGGUCACUUUUCAAACAUAAAGUAUAUUACAGGGUCAAUUUGAACAAUUAACCCGUUAAAAUAAUAGAGAUGAACCCGUCAAUAGUGUGCUAAAUAAAAUUCCAAAACCUACUUGCGUGUGACAAUUUUCAGAUUGCCCAAAAUUUUCUUUUUGUAAAUGUGUUAAUGGGCUUUUGGGUUGAGUCUAAUGUGAAAAAAUUAUCGAUCGAGCCCGGGCGACUGUCCCGGAUCGCCAUACGGUAGAACCGCCCCUGGUUGAUAUCGUUACUAAAGUGAAGACUUAGACUUUCACAUAUAAUUCAAACGAGUCAUGUUUCAAACAUGAAGCGUAGAAGUUAACCACAUACCCUAAUUAUCUCUAAUUGAUUAAAGAAAUUAGAAUUAAGUUCACAUGCAAUGGUUCAUACUCGAGCUAGUCAUAAGCUUCCAACUCUAAUCUAUGGUUAAAUCACACAUGUUAGGUAUGUCGCACUUCCUAGUGCGUGAAGACAAUAAAAAAGUAUGAAACAUCUGAAAAUUAAACAUAACUCAUAUCAUAUAACUAAAUAAAAGACUUGCAUUCAACAAAUAAAUAGAAAUUCAUCUUAGAAUCCUAAUCAGUAAAUUUUUAAUUACUCAUGGUAACAAAAAGACAUAAUACAAAAGAAAUGAAAAAUACUCUUGUGACAAAACGGAGGAUGAUUGAGGCUCCCACUUGAUGCUCAUAACGAUUGCCCUCCUCUUAAACUACCAACUUCUGAAUGAAUGUUAUUGUGCGGAAGACCCUCUAUUUAUAAGCAUAUUGUAUAGUGUUGCCACAUUGAUUAAUAAGAUAUGACACAUAAUGUAUUUAAUUCAUUAAUAGUGUGUCAACACAUCAUUGAAUGUAUCUAUAAUAUUUUUUUAUUUUUUUAUAUUGACAUUGUAUAUAAAUUAAACUCUAAGAGUUUAGGGUCUAGUUACAAACAUACUAUGUGAUUUAGAUCUCUCGUUGAAGAAGAGAAAUGGAAAGAAUUAAGAAAGAGGAAGAAUAUGGAUUUUAGUUUAGGGAAUUUAAUAAAUAUUUUCAGGGACAAAAUUGUCUCCAAAUAUUAUUAUUGUGGGUCCUAAAUGUCCCUGAAUAGUUUGAAAUAGGUGGAAUAUCGUAUAAACUUGUAACAUUUUUUAUUUUUUUGGUACAAUGAUUGUAACAUAUUUAAAAUAAAAAUAACGUAUCCAAUAUUUUUUGUAUGGGAUCUAAAAGUUGAUGUUUAUUUUCUCAAGUUCAACCUGGAUUUCGUGUUUUUUUUUCUUUUCAAAAUGAAUAUGUCCACGCUUUACUAUAUUUUUCCAAAAGAAAGACUAGGUGUGUACUAUUUAAGACCAAAAACAACAUAAUUUUAAUGCAAACCUCAUAUAAUGCAAUAGAGAAAUGAUAUUUGUACAACCAAUUUGUAAUAAUUUUUUAACAACUUUCUCUCUCAUACUCAUAUUAUCCUCUUAUUCUCUUUCUUCCUUUUUCUCUCUCCAAUAUUUUUAACCAAUGAAAAGAGAGAGAAAAUAAAUUGUCACCAAAAGUUAUCUCAAAUGGUUGUUAAAAUAUCACUACUCAAUGAAAUACCACAUUCAAUGAUCUUAUAAAACUUCUAUGUAUGGUGGUUGAUGAAAAGGAGUGGUAACGAUCCAUGUCUGCCCUACCUUAGGUUCUCUCUUAAUAUUGACCACAUAUGACUUACUUCACAAAAAUGAAGAUAAUUUGAUACGAUAAAUAAUAAAAAAAGAUAAAAAUGAUUUUACUAAUUGGCCACAUAUUAACUAAUGGCAAAACGUCAUCGUGAGCUUAACUCAGUUGGUAGAAAAAAUGCAUAAUAUAUGUAAGGUUCGGGGUUCAAACCCCGGCCACCACAAAAAAAAAACUAAUGGCAAAGCUACACGAGUCUUUUAUAUUAUUUAUUUUUUUUAUAAUAUUUGGGGGUUUAUCUUUUAAAGUCUGAGAAAUGCUAACGAGUGUUCUAAAGACACUCUUUAACAACCUUAAAUAAUAAGUAUUUUUUAUUUUUUUUUUAUAGAAAUUGAUGAAUUUAAUGCAUCAAAAAUUGAAUUAAUUGAUUUUUUCAAUAAAUAUUUUCUUAAUUAGAAAUCCUUAAAGAAUGUCCUUAAAAAAUAUGAUGAGUUGCCUUGCCACAUAAGAUUAUUAAUAAUAAUUUUAUUCUUACCCAAUUUAUUUUAUCAAAUUCCCCUAGAAAAAGACAACAUUCAUAAUCUUCAUCAUUAUCUUCAUCUUCAAUCUUUGUCAUCGACCUUCAUCACACAAAUCAUAAUCUUCACAAUAAUCUUUUUUGUUGUUGGAUUUUUUUGGGAAAAAGAUGAAGAUUCUUGAUUUUUAUAUAGGUUUGAAAUUUGAGGAAAACGACGAUGAAUAUAAAAAAAAUGAUGUUUUUUUUUUUGGAUUUAUUUUAUUUAAAAAAGAAAAUUAUAUAAGAAUAAUAUUAUUAUUAUUAUUAUUAUUAUUAAUCCUUUGUGAUAAGUGAACUCAUAAUUUUUUGAAUAAUAAAUGUAAAAUAGGAUUAACUUGUAUACUCUUUAAAUAAUAAAUGACUUAAAUGUUUAAAAAAAGAAGAUAAAUAACCUAAGUGUUACAAAUAAAUAUUACUGAUACAAAAUGAUCUAACUUGUAUGCAUUUCAAAUGAUAAAUGUCUUAAAUGUUAAAAAAAGAAGAUAAAUGACCUAAGAUAAAUGUUCUAAGAUAAAGGGGCCAAUACAAUUUUGCCUUAACUAAUUAAAUAUUGGUACAAAAUGGAGAAUAUAAUAAUUUAGAAGUUAUGCACAUAGCUUAUUGCCUUAACUAAUUAUUUUGGUGUGCAAAUGUGACGCUUAUUGCAAGACAAAGAAUACUUACUAAAAUAUAAAAAGACGUUUUUCAUAAUGUUUAAUAUUGGAAAACGUUUUCCAUAUCGUGAACUUCAUGCAUGACUUUUCUACCUACAUAUUCGUUUUCAAUAAUGCUAUAGAAUUCAGAUGCUAUAAAUAGAUGUGAAGUAUUUAUGGCUAAUGCAUCCUCUGAACCCAACAAGUCUCCAUGGAUCUUCCUUCUUUUUUUCCAAUUGUUGCAUCCAUCUUAGCCUUAUUGAUUGUACAACUUCGAUUUAGAUCUAUUAGAUCACCUAAUAGACUUAAAGAAACAAUAUUCAGCAAAAAUCACAACAAAAUACCUGAACCAUGUUUUGCCUUACCUUUCAUAGGCCACCUUCAUCUUCUAAGCACUAAAGAACCCUAUUUUAGAACCUUUUCAACCAUGGCUGAGAAAUAUGGUUCAAUCUUCUCCCUUAGGCUUGGUUGCAACCAAACCUUAGUGGUGAAUAGUAGAGAAAUUGCCAAGGAAUGUCUCACAAAAAAUGACAAAGUUUUUGCCUCAAGACCUAAUGUAGCAGCAGGGAGAUACUUAGGUUACAACAAUGCUAUUUUAGCUCUUGCUCCUUAUGGAGAUUAUUGGCGAUACAUGAGAAAAAUUUCAACUCUUGAGCUUUUAUCAAGUCAUAGGCUUGAAAAGCUAAAGCAUGUUAGAGAUUUUGAGAUAUAUUCUCUAGUAAAAAAUUUGUACACAUUUGUGAAAAAAACAAAUGGUUCAAUUGAAGUACCUAUUAGCAAGUUUUUAGAUCAUAUGACAUUUAAUAUAAUUGUGAAGAUGAUAGCUGGUAAAAGAUUUAGUGGUGAAACAAUAAAUCAAGAAGAUAGUGAGGCAUGGAGAUUAAGAAAUGCAAUUAAAGAUACUACAUAUCUAUGUGGUGUUUUUGUUAUGGCUGAUGCUAUUCCUAGCCUAAGUUGGAUUGAUUUUCAAGGCCAUGUUGGUUUCAUGAAGAGGACUGCUAAGGAAAUGGAUUUCAUUCUUGAUAAGUGGUUGAGUGAACAUUAUAAAAAGAGAGAUGAAGUACAAAGUGGUAAGGAGGAUGAUUUCAUGGAUGUAUUGAUAUCAAUGUUUGAAGAAGAUGAUGAAAUUUGUGGCCACAAACGGGAGACAGUUAUCAAAGCAACAACCUUGGUACGUUUUUCUUCAUGCUUAUAUUAAGUACUAAAAUUUGAAAGUAAUAUGUCCAUCAAUUAUCUUUUUUUGGUGGUGUCCGGGAUUCGAAUAUCAUAUCUUACAUAUAUUAUGUAUUGUCCAUCAAUUAUCUAUCAAUAAUAAAUCAUUUCAAGAGUGAAAACAAUUUCACAAGCAAUUUAUAGUAUUUUUAAAAACCAUAACCUAAUCCAUAGAACUUUUUUUUCUUGACCGAACUAAUCCAAAGAAUUGAAAACCGUACAAAACUGAAUAUUAUUUUAUAUAUAUUUGGAUGUUUUUUUUUUUAAUAGAAACCGUUCAUAUCAUAUCUCAUAUUCCUUCUUAAAAUUUAAACCAAACUAGAAACAUAUAUCAUAAUACUUAUUUUCUUAUUAAUGUGAUAUAUUGCAAUAUGAAUCUAUUACUUGAUGACUUUUUAUUUAUUUAAUAAUACUCAUAGUCUAAUUUAAUCUAUUUUUUUUCUUCUAUUUCACAUAUUUCAAACAUAAUCGAUCAUUGUCAUUCAUUAAUGUUAAUUUUCAGUAUAUUAUAUGUUACAUUUUACACCAAAUAUAGUACUUUACCAUGUUUUUAUAAUAUUCAUAAAAAAUUUACAAUUUUAAUUUAGGUAUCCAAAAAUCGACUCAAAUUAAACUGCAAUGAAUUAUCAAUUUUUUUUAAAGAAGUCGUCCAAAUUGAACCUCGUAUUAUUUUGUCUAUCGAUUGAAUGAUUUUUUGCUUCAAAAUCGAUCUAGACCGACCGCGAAUACCUUAUAUUGAAUUUUGAAGUGCAAGGUCUUGCUCAAGUAACUAACCUUGCAAAUAUUUUUCAUUUGUUAUUUAGGCCUAAAUGAAGUUUUAAUCUCCAUAUGUUAUUUGUUACACGGCUUUAGUCCUUCUAUUUCUAAAUACAAAAAUAUACUUAAUCAGUUUUGAAAGUUUCAAAUUUUUUCACCAUUAAAUAUCAUACUUAUUUUUACUAAUGUAUAUAUCAUGUUAAAUAAAUAUGAGUUGUACACACAGGUUGCAUUCGAGACUUCUAAAUGAUCUAUGUAUACCCAUGCUUUCAUAUACACCUUGAGAGAGAACAAAAAUAGAGAAAACGAUACAAUAGAAAGCGAGAUAUAGAGAAAAUUAGAUGUUACAUGAGUAUCAAGGAACUAUCUGUGAAAAAAACUUCACCUAUAUGAUAAAAUAGUCAAGACCAUAAUUUCCACAUCCAUAUAUAAAUUUGUUUGGCCUAAUAUAUAGAGCUGUCAAAACGGGCGGCCCGGCCCGUUUAGGCCUGGCCCGGCCGGGCCAAGGGAUUUUAAGGGCCGGGCUAAAAAGCCCGGUUUGAAUAUGGGCUGCAAAAAAUGAGCCCGAUCCCGGCCCUAUACAGGCUCCCGGGCUAACGGGCCGGCCCUGGCCCGUAUUUUUUUCUUCCCUUUUCCAUUCUUUUAAGUACGGAACAUACAUAAAUAUGCCGGGCCAGCCCGGGCCCGUAUCAGUCUCUCACACACACAGAUCACAAAAAAAAAAAAAGUUGUAUUUUUUGCGGGCUUCCGGGCAGCCCGAAGCCCGGACGGGCUAGCCCUAACGAGCCAAGGGCUUUUACGGGCCGAGCUAAAAAGCCCUCUUCAAUUUCGGGCUCCAAUUAUUCGGCCCAAGCCCUACAUUUUAUUCGGGCUUUUGGACCGGCCCUUACGGCCCGGCCUAUUUUGACAGCUCUACUAAUAUAAGACUUUGAUUAAAUAUGUCUGUUCUAAAAACUUCACCUAUAUGAUAUAAUUUUUUUUUCUUUUCUGACAAUUAUUUUGCUUGCAGAUUCUUAUCCUUACAGCCUCAGGAAGUACAUCAAUAACAUUAGGAUGGGCUCUUUCCCUACUUAUAAAUCAUCCAAAGGUCUUAAAACAAGCAAAAGAAGAGUUGGACACAAACAUAGGAAAAGACAAAUGGGUCCAAGAAUCUGACAUCAAAAACCUUAAAUAUCUUCAAGCCAUUAUCAAAGAGACACUUCGUUUAUACCCACCAGCACCCUUAACAGGAAUAAGAGAAGCCACUGAUGAUUGCCACGUGGCAGGCUACAAAGUCACCAAAGGCACUCGUUUGUUUAUUAACCUAUGGAAAUUGCAAAGGGACCCACUAGUAUGGUCCAACCCUAAUAAAUUUCAACCUGAGAGGUUUUUCAAUAUUCAUGAUCAAAUUGAUAAUUUUCAGAAUCAAGAAUUUGGAUAUUUGCCAUUUAGUUAUGGAAGAAGGUCAUGUGCUGGUGCAACGUUUGGAAUGCAAGUCUUGCAUUUGACUUUGGCUAGGUUGAUUCAAGGGUUUGAUAUAAACACAAAAGAUGGUGGUCCAGUUGAUAUGAUUGAAGGAGUAGGAUUGGCAUUGCCUAAGGAAAAUCCACUUGAUGUUAUGCUCCAACCACGUCUCCCAUUGGAACUUUAUGAAAGCCUUUGAUAUUUGUAUCAAGUGUCAAAAGAAAAUAUAAAAUAUAGUUUUUUUUUUCUUUUCUGAUAAAAUAUAUUGUUUGAAUAAUAUGAUAUGAGAUGGGAGCUCAUGAAUAAUCAUAUCUCUAGAAAUAUACAAUAAUGUAAUGUACUUUUUAUUUUGGAAAUGUCUCAAGAUCCACAUGAAUGCUAGAAAUUAUAUAAUACACUAUGUAAGCAUCUUUGGUGUUUAACAAGUGUUGACACAAAGACAGGAAAUCGACAAAUCUAGAUACAUUACAUCACAUAUCUCUUUUAUAAAUUAGUAUAGCUAUUUAUGAGUCAGUGUCGUGCAUGUAUUUGGGGGUGUGAGAAUAAGUCAAGCUACACGAUAGGUAUCUAUAACUUAUUAUCGUCUGAUUCGGUUUUGCCCGUUUAAUAAAAAAAUUAGGUUCAAACACUUUAAAAAAUUUAUUAUUUAAAUAGUUCAGAUUUAAGAUAUUUAAAAAGCCAAUUAGGUAUACAGAAGGAACUACGCGACAACAAUGUUUGCAAUGUUUUGAAGAUUUUUUUUCCCCUAAACACAUUUGGAUUAUAGAAUACCAAAAGGAAACAAUAUUGCAUUAGCACACAACACAUGUAUUCAAAAUCAUGUACAAAUAUAUUUUACAAAUCAACUGAAUAUAUAUAAAUAGGGCUAAUGAACCCAUAAACUCUCAGUAUCAUAGUUUUAAAAUUCGGCUCGGUCAUCGACUCGGCGGGGAUACUGGAUCAAUGGAUCAAUGGUCGAACCACUGAGUCAUUGGUCGAACCGCAUGACUAAAUCGGAACCACUCGGAUGACUCGGUUAGAUAACUCGGUUCUUAGAUUAAAUUUAUAUAGUUAUUUAACCGGAUUAACUCGGAUUGAAUCGGUGACUCGGUCACUUUAGAAACUAAAAUAAUUAAUGAGUGUUGUAAUUUAAAAAAUGUUUACAUUUAAGGACAAAAAUAAAAUCAAAUGGAUGUUUAAAUAUAUGGACGAAGAUAGUAAUACAUAUUCAAAUAAAUAUAGUAAAAUAAAACUAUUCUUUCAAAAAAAAAAAUAUUGUAAAAAAAAUGUUUAUUAAAAUAUUUGAGAUGUCGGACAAUAAUAUUUAAAUGAUAAGAGUGUGCUUGGUUCCUUAAAAUAAAAAAGAGUGUUUGGUUUCCUUUAAAAAAAACUGUUCAGUUAUUAUAUAUAAUUGAUAAGAAGAUCUACACAGCUCAGUGGGUAAAGGGAAUGCAUUGCAAUCUAAGAGACGCGGGUUCAACUCCCUGCACUGCCAUUUUUUGGAAAAUUAAUAUGAUUUAAUUUAUGUUUCACGUUGCCGGUUCACCGUUUUUUCACGAGUUUGGUCGGUUCCGGCUGGUUUGAUUGCAUGACCGAUCCGUUUAUCAACUCGAACCGGUCAUCCCACCGGUUCACGGUCGGACCGGUUCAACCGGCCGGUCCGGUCCAGUUUUCAAAACUAUGCUCAGUAUGUAAAAGAAAAGUUAUGCUUAGUACACAAUAUUUUUUGGCAACUCUUUUGUCUUUACUUCAACAAAUAUUCUGGGAAUCAAACAGAUAAAUGCUUAUCCAAUGCAAGAAAUAAUAUAAAGAAAUAAAGGUCCAAGUGGUAGUUGGUAUUUAUACUAAAAAAGUAGUUCAAGCAUGGUUAAUUUUCCUUGCUUAGUGAAAUACGUGGUAGGGUAAAUAUUAGAACAUAUAUGGCCAUUUUUCUCCGCUCAUUUACUCUCAUUGGUUUCAAGUCACAUCCAAGAAAAAGUAUAUGGCUAAAAUAGUGUCAUACUCAUAUAUAGUAGUUGUUUUUCUAUCCUUGUCCUUUUCGUUAAUCAACUAUCUUCCACACCAAUUUAAUUUUUGAUGCAUUAAUUCUUGAAACCACUAAAAGAAAACAAUGAUAGUUAUCUUCUCAAAAAUCAUGUAACACAUCUUUACUCCCACAAAAAUGGAUAAUUUCUAUACACAACCAGCAACUAUAGUACUAGCUAUACUUUUAGUGCUUCUAUACAACAUAUGGAGGGUAAAAAAACCUAGUAACAAAUUCAAGGGUAUGAAACCACCAGAACCAUCAUAUGCCUUACCUUUAAUAGGUCACCUCCAUCUACUAGGAAACCAAAUCCCUCUUGCAAGAAUCUUUGCUUCAUUUUCAGACAAAUAUGGUCCUAUCUUCCAAAUCCAUUUUGGAGCAUACCCUGCACUUAUUAUUUCCAACAAAGAAGCAAUCAAAGAAUGUUUCACUACAAAUGACAAAAUCUUAGCCUCAAGACCAAAGUCAAGUCAUGGAAUUCACCUAGGUUAUAACUAUGCUGGCUUUGGUUUUGCACCUUAUGGCCCAUAUUGGACCAAGCUAAGAAAAUUAACCAUGCUUGAACUACUUUCGUCUCGUCGCCUUGAAUCGUUGAGACAUGUUUAUGAAUCGGAGAUCGAUACUUUGAUAA
rnacentral:lncRNA from 1 species